AGCCCGGUGAUCAGGGGGAUACGUGAGCACCCCCUAGCUGCUCAACACGUGUCUAACGCCAUCCAUUAAUCCGUUAGCACUAGGUCCUCCUCCACAGUGCCCCACUAGGCCACCACCACGCCCCCCUCCUCUAACCUCACGCACGCACCCAACAUCUUGGUGCUCUGCAUCUCUGGCCAUCUUUCUCCGAUGCUCGACCUCCGCCCUCCCAAGCUCCACCGCCGCAGCUCUGGCCGGCCACGCGUGUGCAAGUUUCGGGUCCUGCCGCACGUGCGUCCGUGAGCCCCAACCUUGCGCCUCCCUGCAACUCAAAUCGAAUCAGGGGAAGAGGAAUUGAGAGGCAGCAGUACUCAAAUCGAAUCAGGGGGAAGAGGAAUUGAGAGGCAGCAGUACCGCCUGGGCCAUCCCGUGGAGCGGCGCGGUCACAUGCACCUCAUCACCAUCACCGGCGCCGGGGAGCACCGCCUGGGCCUUCCCCUGAUCUCUGCCCUCCGCUCCUUGUGCCGCUGCUGGGGUCCGAGGACGCCACGCUGCAGCUCAACGCGGUCAGCGCACCGGCCGGUCGAGCACGAAGAAGAACUCGCUGGCCGCGCUGCUGUGCCUGUCUGCCGAGCGGGAGAACGUGGGGAAGCUCACGCUGGCGUUGCUCGCGAAGCGGGGAGGCGCCGAGGCCAUCGUCAGGGUCGACGGCGCCGUGGCCAGGCUCGUGUCCGCGCCGGCGGAGUGGGGCGCUGGUCAUCGCUAACCGAGAGCAGCAUCCGAGGAGGUAGCGAAGGCCCGCGUUUAGCAGCUUUUUCUGGGAGAGAAAGAUACUCGCCCCCACUACGUGCAGCACGAAUACAGGCUAGAAUUGUUCGAGCACCGCAAGUUUGAGAAGGGAUUGAGAGGGGGCGAACCUAGUUGCAGACUUGCAGUUCACUUGUGUUUGUCUGCAACCAGCCAGCAUUCCGAAGCCUGCUAAUUGUAGUCUCAUUAGACAGCGAAACUGGCCACAAGCUGCUGUGUUCGCGGCGGCGACGAGCACACCGAGCCAGUGAUGCUGCUGGGGCUGCAGAUGACCAUGCCGAGCACGGCCAUACCCGCCUCAUUCUUCUCCUUGCUUAAAAGUAUUGUCUUCUUGAAGGCUGCUGAAGAAUAUCAUCUUCUUCCUGAUACCUUGUAUCUGACAGUGAACUAUAUUGACCCUUUUUUUUUCUGACAAUAAGAUCAAUCGCCAAAGGCUACAAUUACUUGGUGUUGCUUGCAUGCUUAUAGCUGCAUAAUAUAUUAAGAUCCAGCAAGUUCAUUUUUAUUUAUCUUCAUUUACUCUGUAUUUUCAUUUCAGUGGUUCGCAUACUAAUUUUGCUAGUUCAGUAGAUAGAUCUCCGAACUGUUGAAAAUAAGACGGUAUACCACCAGUACAACUCCAUCUAUGUUACCUGAUGUUAUCUAUGGUACCCAUUACCCAAGCUAACAUUACAUUUAGCUGUCAUGUCAUAUUUCUAUAAAUCCAUACAGCUUAUCCACUUUCCAGCAUGUCUGCUCGUAGUGAAAUGGUCAUUUUAUCAAUAGAUAUAGUGUUACUGCAGUAAUAUGGCCAUUUUAUCAAUAAAAUAGCAAACGUGGUGAGUUCAUAGGACAUGACCACCAUAUAUCUAUCCUAGUACUGAUCGGUUAAUUUCCUUUGAUAGUGUUAUUUCAGCUGCAAUUCCAUCACUAUUUUUUUUGCCUAUAUUUCCAUACAUACAUCUGGGGCAAGGAAAAAUUGAACUGAAACUGAAGUUUAAACUGCAGUACCUUCUUUUGGCAGCUGGAGUAUAUAGUCUUGAUUUGUUCUAUGAUUAUUGUGAUUUAUUUUCUGUGAAUAAUAUAUCCUAAAUUGGAAAAAAAAAAGUGUGCAGGACAGUUGAGAUGGGAGGUCGUCAACUACUCCGUAUAUGUUAGGAAGAUUGCUCAUUGUUCUAUUCACUGAAAUGACAAACUGUUCCCAACUCAUUGCUUGUCUCCUUUAGUGAAGACAUACAUGUUGACUGAAACUGUUGUCCCGACACUUGCAAUUGCAAAUGAUAAGAUUCAGCAAGGGAUGCACUCUGCCGAAUUUGGACCAAACUUCAUCCAAAUUGAAAGAACAAGUUUAGUUUAUAUACAUGAAAGCUUUUUCUGCAUUGUUGAUGGUGAUUUGGAGCAUUAGCCUUCCCUCUCGCAGUGAACUGAACUGUUGGUGCACUGAAACUAUGAGCUGACCCUGGAAUUCUUUUCUAGUGAAACUGUAGGAGGCUGGGUGGAGAGCGUGCGCUGGAGGAGAAGCGCCGAUGGCAUCGGCCGGCUUCUUCCCAAGCACGAUGAGCCUGGCCGGUCGACGGGGGGCGCGGGGCGCCACCGCCGUUCGCGAUGCAGGUGCGGGUACUAGGGAGGUCGACCUCCGCCCCUCCUCCGUGGAGAUGAGGAGGCUGAGGCGCGCGGCGGCCUCCGCGCGGCCGCGGCGAAGGGCGGCGGUGUGGAAGGAAGGGGCGCUCCUUGGGGCCAUCUGGGCGGUGGUGCGGGCACAGGGAUGGCCGGAGCAGGGGCAGCGCACGGCCUCGCGUCUGGGCAGGAGGAGCAGGGGCGGCGCGCGGGUCUCUCAUCGGUGAGGGAGGAGCAGGGUGGGCAUCGAUCGUUUCCUUUUUUUUAUAACGGGUGGGCAUCGUUUCCUUUGUUUAGCGCUGGCCAUGAUUAGAUAACAUGUGAAAAGUAGAUUCCAUGCUAGAAAA